CAUAUACCUCUUGAAAUGUCCAUGUGGUAUGGCCUAUGUGGGUGAGACCACCCUGGCAUUUACAGUGAGGGUACAGGAACAUAAGAGUGGUAUCCACACACAGAAAUUGCAGCAUUCAGUGACUAGGUAUUUUGUGGAAGCUGCGGUACAUGAUUAUAGAGAAGGUACAUACUCCUUUGCGUGGUGGCUCACCUGAACUCCGAUUGUGGCAGAGAGAGCUCUUAUGAAUGUAUGAGUUACAGACGUUAUUCCCUAAGGGCCUCAAUGAGGACCAGGAUUUAUCAUCUUUUUUGUAGUUGUGAUUACCUUAGCCUGUGUAUAGUUUGUUUUUUAUUCUUGAUAAUAGGUGAUGCACUGGAAUGGUGAUGGCACUUGGAUGUUUAUUAUUUGCUCAUUGAGCAAAGAUCUGUUGUGGAUCCAAGAUUGGACUUUGGAGAUUGAAGAUGGAUGACUAGUUUUGUGGAGAUCUUGUUGGCCUAUGAUAAUUAUGGACUGGAUUUUGCUAAUGAUAAUGGAAUAUGUCAAAUCUGUUUAAGUGGGAAUUAAAAUAUUUCUAAACAUUUCUCUCUCAUAGUUAUGUGUUUGGACUGUUUAUGAUGUUAAGAUUAUGCUUAACCUAUCUUAUACAGUGUCCGAAUAUCCGAAUUGCAGACAUUUGGCCGAAUAUAAAUUUGGAUCGAAACGAAUUGUAUAU